CAUAGCCGCGGUAAUACAGAGGGUGCGAGCGUUAAUCGGAUUUACUGGGCGUAAAGCGUGCGUAGGCGGCUUCUUAAGUCGGAUGUGAAAUCCCUGAGCUUAACUUAGGAAUUGCAUUCGAUACUGGGAAGCUAGAGUAUGGGAGAGGAUGGUAGAAUUCCAGGUGUAGCGGUGAAAUGCGUAGAGAUCUGGAGGAAUACCGAUGGCGAAGGCAGCCAUCUGGCCUAAUACUGACGCUGAGGUACGAAAGCAUGGGGAGCAAACAGGAUUAGAUACCCCGGUAGUCCCUGUCUCUUAUACA
rnacentral:rRNA from 1 species